rnacentral:misc_RNA from 1 species
GUAUUUGUUUAAGACCGCGAUUAAGCAAGUCAUUAAAGACAUUCUAUGACUGACUAGUGUAUAAAAACGUAGCCCCCCAGAGAGCAUUGCAGGAAAGACGACCGAUUAGGCCCUCAAUCCCAAGCAAACUCGCAUUGCUGCGAAAAAUGGCACUCGUUGCUAAGGGGCGUACAAAUGUUCACAUAAAGAAGGUUAGAAGAAUGAAGGACGAGCACAUGCCCGGGUUAAGGGGGCCAGCAUCAAAUCCGACUUAAUUCAAUAAUGAUCCUUCCGCAGGUUCACCUACGGAAA